AGCAGUGUGAUAUGGAGACCUGGGCACUAUGGGGAUGUAGGACUGGCAGUUCAUGAGUUGCCCAAAUUUGCUGGUUCUCAGGAGAAUUAAGUCUCCACACACAUCUUUCUCCCCUGUGCUCUCUCCAACACUACAGCUACUGAAGGAAACUCCCCUAGAGGAAGAGCAGUGCUGUACAGAAGCUGUUAAUGAUGGGCUGGAUUGGUCGGCUGAAACCGGUGCCAAGAUCUAAAUGUGUUUUUACUCCAAGCUCCUCCCCAGCUGUCCAGAUACCCUGCAGAACUUCCAGCUGGUGUGAACCCCACGGGCUGCUUGGGCCAGCAAAAAGAAGGGGUGGGGGGACAACCCUGCCCGCUGCUUGCACUCCUCCUCCUGGCUUGAUAACUGCAAAUCUCUUGCAUGAAAUAGCAAAUCGUUGAGCUUUGUCUGAAAAAUUUGCAAGUUGACCUAAACUCUCAGGUUCUAGGAAGUAACUGUGCCUGCCGAGGGCUUGCACAGGUAACUAUGGCAACUCUCCUUCUCCAUUAGGCUUUGAACGAACUGUUCUUAAGUGAAAACAGCUUCAGCCUACCAUUGCCGUUUAAUAAAUAAUCCACCAGCCGAGGAGAAUUCGGGCUCAGGAGAAGCUGUGCUCCCUUUCAACUAGGCACUACUAAGAGCUGGAAAAAUGCAAAAGUGAAAUUCAGCAAAGCCGUUUGCAGAAUUUCCAUGACAUGACUUUGUUCCUGCGGCAUGUAAACAAAUCACUCACACUCACCCCCCCGGCUCCACGGAGGGGCACAGGGCUCUGAGACAAGCUCCUGGCUGCUGCGUGCUGAGCAGGUAAAUGCAAAAUCAGAGCUCGUGAUCUGCUUUUGCUCGUAAUCUCCCUGCUGUACUUGAAGUCAUUUCUAAGCCGUAUGUCAUCGUUUUAGGUCUUUGUAUUAGGCAGGGAGAGAAGGAAACGGGAGAGAAAGCGGGCAGCUCGUUUUGAGAUUUGUCAUUCGGGAGUGACAGCGCGAGGUUCAACCUGCUUAGUUCUGCGAUAUGUCAAAGUGCAUCGGGGUCAGAAAAUAACACUGCACAGUUCCUGAGUGGGGAUGAUGUUUACAGGCUUUUCUUUUACAAGUUUGAAUUCUGCCAGGGACAUUACACGAGAACUUACAAUUUGUUCUUUAUAACUAAGAGCCGUUUUGAAUAGUUGCCAGGCAGUCAGGGCCAGGUUCUUCUUUUAAGCUCUGAAGCAGUAAGGUCCAUCCUCGGGGCCUGAUAUGAGUUUUCCAUUGACUUCAGUAAGGCUCAGGCUUACUAGGACCUCUCGCAGGCAUAAAGGUGGGACACCUUGGUCAACAGAAGCCUCAUUUCUCCUGCCUGUCUCUGCAGCAGGGUGAAGGAGGGCUGACAGCUUCUCCCAGCAGCUUGUCAGAGCAUUUUGAAGCCUGAGGCAUCUCUGUUCCAGCACACACAUUGUACAUGGCUUUGAGAAGGCCUUACAACCCCUACUUCAAAAGGUAGGAUAGGCGGAACAGUGUAUCUAGAAGCGUUGUCAGACAAACAGAAGAAAACUUCUGGGGGCUGUGUUCCAGGGGCCAGCUGAGUGCCUUCCAUCAGGAGGGAACAGGCCUUGCAGAUACCUGACAAAGAUCUAAGUGUUUCAAAGCCUGC